CCUACGGGAGGCAGCAGUGGGGAAUCUUGCGCAAUGCACGAAAGUGUGACGCAGCAACGCCGCGUGGAGGAAGAAGGCUCUCGGGUCGUAAACUCCUUCCAGUUGGGACGAAGCUUCGUCGGUUAAUAGCCGGCUGGAGUGACGGUACCUUCACAAGAAGCACCGGCUAACUACGUGCCAGCAGCCGCGGUAAUACGUAGGGUGCAAGCGUUGUCCGGAAUCAUUGGGCGUAAAGAGCGUGUAGGCGGCCCGAUUAGUCCGCUGUGAAAGUCCAGGGCUCAACCCUGGAAUGCCGGUGGAUACUGUCGGGCUCGAGUCCGGAAGAGGCGAGUGGAAUUCCUGGUGUAGCGGUGAAAUGCGCAGAUAUCAGGAAGAACACCAACGGUCGAAGGCAGCUCGCUGGGACGGUACUGACGCUGAGACGCGAAAGCGUGGGGAGCAAACAGGAUUAGAUACCCUGGUAGUCCACGCCGUAAACGAUGGGUACUAGGUNUGGGGGUUGUCGACUCCCCCGGUUGCCGAAGCUAACGCAUAAGUACCCCGCCUGGGGAGUACGGCCGCAAGGCUAAAACUCAAAUGAAUUGACGGCGNGAGAGNGCGAGACGACGACGAGGGAGGAGG
rnacentral:rRNA from 1 species